CAAUCUCAUAGCGGACUCCCCGGUGUUGCCCUUAUGAUCUCCCCACUCCCUCUUCAGUGUUCUGUGAGCCUUAGGUGUGGGACUUGUUUUGUAAAUGUAUCUACCGGGACUGACUGCACUCCACACCCUGACACUCUUUCCUCUACUUUUACUCAGAAUAUUUAUUUUGAAAUUCUCAUUUUAUUUCACAGGAUGGAUAUCCCAUUGAGUACUUAUUCACCUACUGAUAUAUGUUUGAGUUGUGUCCAGUUUCUUGCGCAUCAUAAUAAAGCCGUGUGUAAACCCAUGGUUAUGCUGGGUGUCCCCCAAAUGCAGACCGUACACCAAAGGAGCCCUAGAUAUUCUGUUCAUGCUGAUGUCUUACCUGAGGAUCUGGAAACCUGCUUUCCUGAAGCUUCUCUCGCCAUUCCCAGAUGUUAUCCUUGUUCAGCCACACAAUGAGAUGUCACAGAGAUUCAAGAAAGGACUUGUCAUACAGUGUGACUCAAGAGAAAACUGUAAAAUGCCC
rnacentral:lncRNA from 1 species